UUGAGUGUCGCGGGGAGGGGGGAGAUGAGCAUAGUCCACAACUCAUGGCGCCAGCAGCAUCCCAGGAUCAUCAUCGCAUGAGCCGGAGCUUCUCCUACGAUGUGCUGCUCCGCGAUGUUUCUGGUUUAGGGUUUAGGGUUUAGGGUCUCCCACCCGCUCCAGCUCCGAGCUGAGCCCGCCAGAGAUCGAGGAGGCCACUGUUCACUCCAAUGGCGGCCUCCAUCACCGCCCGAGGCUUGAUCUCCCACCGGCAGAAAGCAAGAGCUCUUCAGAGCCCGCCAAUGGAUCUCUUCUUCUGGUGGACGAAGACACAUGCAGCUCCCGGGUUGAAGACCCGGCUACCUCAGUCGUUCAUCACACCUCUGGCGGAGAAGCCCGCUUCUCCGCCAACAUACCUCGGUUAUCAACUUUGAACCCGAUGGUGAAACCGAACCGGGUUCACAGAAGAAGCUCGAGAACGAGGCUGACAAACCUUUCCCGGCUCUUCCACCAGCUUUUGAUCCCACCAGUGGAGCUCACUGGAGACAACUUAUGAAUGCUGGCAAUGAGUACAUGGAACUGGAUUUUUCUCCGGUUCAACAUGUGAUGGACGAGCUCACUGAUGGAGCUGCUCUGCAAAUUACGACAAGAACCGGAAGCGAACAAAGCCGGGAGCGCGGGUACAAUGUCUUGUGCAAUGUUCCCUGGCGCUGCGAGCUGACUCUUUCUUGUCACUCUUAACUGUGACUCCAUUGCGGCUCCUGAUGGUUUUACCGAACCGUGUAAGGAACUUCCGGACAGUCGGACCCAGUGACUGGUGCGACUUAUGUUGUUUGAUCAUAUUAAUCGCCGGAGUGAAGGCUCUUCAGCAAGCUGAGAUCAGGUACAUCUAUCACUCUAUCAGAUUCGAGCCAAACAUCAAGCUCUAUGUGAUCUACAACAUGCUCGAGGUCUGGCUUUUUAAUCAUUUAUUUUUUUCAAUACGUUUAUUCUUCUAGUUUUCACAAUCAUUCGCUGAAUGUUUUCUGUAUGCUGCUGGUGUUUGACAAGCUUUUCCAAUCAUUUGGAGUAGAUGUGCUCGAGGUUCUCUUCAGAUCAGCAGCGAGCUGCACAGGGGAGGGGAAGGCUUCGGAUUUUUUUAAGGCUUUUCUUCGAUCAGAGCAUCGCCAUCGGAUGCUUCAUUAUCCUUUUUCUUUUAUUUUUUUAUCUUUAUUUUAUUUAUUAAUUAGUUUUUUAUCCUUGACUUCUACACACUUGUGCACUCGUUCAUCAUCAUGUUUGAAGGAAUAACUCUGGCCGCGGCCCUCCACCAUGCGGCUACAAACAGAUCGUUGUUCAUGCUCUUAAUGUCGACUACGACUACAUUUCAGGAUACUACGACUAAAUCACCUUCCUUGGAGUUGAUCGUUGGAAGCAGCUCGAAACAGCAGGUGAUCACCAGCUUAUGGAGUGAGGAGACUUCUGGCAAACUCCGGAGCUGAAACAUCGUUGCAUCGAGAUGAUCAAUGAAACGAGUACCGUUAUUCCUCAGCGUGAUCUACUUCCACCAGCAUCUCUUCAACAACUCCCAGACAGGUUAAAAGAGUUCGAGCUUCUUUGGAGCAUCCAGUGAAUGAAAGCCUCUGAAUCAAAAUCUCAAGCACCUGAGUUUGGCUGUACUUGUUAGACUC